rnacentral:misc_RNA from 1 species
AGCAGCCGCGGUAAUUCCAGCUCCAAUAGCGUAUAUUAAAGUUGUUGCAGUUAAAAAGCUCGUAGUUGAAUUUCGGGAUCAAAGGAUCGGUCAUGCCUUGGUAUGUACUGGUUUUAUUGGUUCUCACCUUCUAAAGAACCAUAAUGUCAUUCAUUUGAUGUUAUGGGGAAUUAGGACUGUUACCUUGAAAAAAUUAGAGUGUUUAAAGCAGGCUUACGCUUGAAUACAUUAGCAUGGAAUAAUGAAAUAGGACAUCAGAUUCUAUUUUGUUGGUUUCUAGGAUCGAUGUAAUGAUUAAUAGGGAUAGUUGGGGGCAUUAGUAUUCAAUUGUCAGAGGUGAAAUUCUUGGAUUUAUUGAAGACUAACUACUGCGAAAGCAUUUGCCAAGGAUGUUUUCAUUAAUCAAGAACGAAAGUUAGGGGAUCGAAGACGAUCAGAUACCGUCGUAGUCUUAACCAUAAACUAUGCCGACUAGGGAUCGGAUGAUGUUAAUUUAUAAUGACUCAUUCGGA